CCUACCCCUAGUGGCUUUGCAGGUGUGGCUGCUGUAUCACAUAGGUGUCAAUAGGCAGCAAGUACUAGAGCGGCUAUGUCAACAUUCAGUGUUCUGACCCGUGAGCAUCUGAAUGAUGAGUAGUCUAACAUU